rnacentral:rRNA from 1 species
UGGGGAAUAUUGCACAAUGGGGGAAACCCUGAUGCAGCGACGCCGCGUGAGCGAAGAAGUAUUUCGGUAUGUAAAGCUCUAUCAGCAGGGAAGAAAAUGACGGUACCUGACUAAGAAGCAUCGGCUAACUCCGUGCCAGCAGCCGCGGUAAUACGGAGGAUGCGAGCGUUAUCCGGAUUUAUUGGGUUUAAAGGGUGCGUAGGCGGACUUUCAAGUCAGCGGUAAAAUUUCCGGGCUUAACCUGGUUGUGCCGUUGAAACUGAGAGACUGGAGUGCGCUUGAGGUAGGCGGAAUGCGUUGUGUAGCGGUGAAAUGCAUAGAUAUGACGCAGAACUCCGAUUGCGAAGGCAG